rnacentral:rRNA from 1 species
AUGACGACGAGCAGGGAGAAGAGGUGGAGCCUGGCCGGCGCGACGGCGCUCGUCACCGGCGGCAGCAAAGGAAUAGGGCGCGCCAUCGUGGAGGAGCUCGCCGGCUUCGGGGCGCGGGUGCACACGUGCUCCCGCAACGCGGCGGAGCUGGAAGAGUGCCGCCGGCAGUGGGAGGAGGAGAAGCUGGCGGUCACCGUCUCUGUGUGCGACGUCUCUGUGCGCGCUGAGAGGGUGAAGCUCAUGGAGACUGUCAGGGACUCCUUCGACGGCAAGCUGGACAUACUGGUGAACAAUGCAGGGCAAUUGGUUUUAAAAGCGGCUAUAGAGUGGACGGCGGACGACUACGCACAAUUGAUGGAGACUAACUUAGAGUCAAACUUCCACCUUAGUCAGCUCGCGCACCCUCUACUCAUCAACGCCUCUAUACUUGGAGGAGGUAGCAUCGUCAACAUCUCCUCUGUUGGAGGUAUAUUUGGCUACCCAGGCCUCGCACUUUAUGGCAUCACAAAAGGAGGAAUGAACCAAUUUACAAGGAGCCUCGCCACUUAG